rnacentral:rRNA from 1 species
ACGAACGCUGGCGGCGUGCCUAAUACAUGCAAGUUGAGCGCUGAAGGUUGGUACUUGUACCAACUGGAUGAGCAGCGAACGGGUGAGUAACGCGUGGGGAAUCUGCCUUUGAGCGGGGGACAACAUUUGGAAACGAAUGCUAAUACCGCAUAAAAACUUUAAACACAAGUUUUAAGUUUGAAAGAUGCAAUUGCAUCACUCAAAGAUGAUCCCGCGUUGUAUUAGCUAGUUGGUGAGGUAAAGGCUCACCAAGGCGAUGAUACAUAGCCGACCUGAGAGGGUGAUCGGCCACAUUGGGACUGAGACACGGCCCAAACUCCUACGGGAGGCAGCAGUAGGGGAUCUUCGGCAAUGGACGAAAGUCUGACCGAGCAACGCCGCGUGAGUGAAGAAGGUUUUCGGAUCGUAAAACUCUGUUGGUAGAGAAGAACGUUGGUGAGAGUGGAAAGCUCAUCAAGUGACGGUAACUACCCAGAAAGGGACGGCUAACUACGUG